rnacentral:tRNA from 1 species
UGAAUACUUCUUCUUCUCAAGACA